AAACUCAUCAAUUCAGCUGCCAGAAAUUUAAAUAAAGGACAAGGAAGUGUAUGUUUACCUGAGUCUAAAGAGCAAAGUUGCUUCUGGAAAGAAGCCCUGACUGGAGGUGCUGGCAUUUGAAAUGUUGGGCAGGCGCACAUGUUGCUUAAAUUUCUGGAGAUUACAGAUUGGUUAGUGGGAAGUAAACUACGUUUGUAAAUUCUCCACUGGGUGGAGUCUGAGCAGUUCUUUGAAUCUCUCACCCUAAGAUCUGGCCUGAACAUUGGCAAGAAAUUCCUGAGAGUUCCUUGAGAGGUUCUGGGAGCCGAGCACCCCGUUGGAAUCCUAGUUUAAGAGAACAACUUGUAAUGGAGCCUUCAUCUCUUGAGCUGCCGGCUGACACAGUACAGCGCAUUGCGGCUCAACUCAAAUGCCACCCAACGGAUGAAAGGGUCGCUCUCUACCUAGAUGAGGAAGAUAAGCUGAGGCACUUCAGGGAGUGCUUUUAUAUUCCCAAAAUGCGAGAUCUACCUCCAAUUGAUUUAUCAUUAGUGAAUAAAGAUGAAAAUGCCAUCUAUUUCUUGGGAAAUUCUCUUGGGCUUCAACCAAAAAUGGUUAAAACAUAUCUUGAAGAAGAACUAGAUAAGUGGGCCAAAAUAGCAGCCUAUGGUCAUGAAGUAGGGAAGCGUCCUUGGAUUACAGGAGAUGAGACUAUUGUAGGCCUUAUGAAGGACAUUGUAGGAGCCAGUGAAAAAGAAAUAGCCCUAAUGAAUGCUUUGACUAUAAAUUUACAUCUUCUACUGUUAUCAUUUUUUAAGCCUACGCCAAAACGGUAUAAAAUCCUUCUAGAAGCCAAAGCCUUUCCUUCUGAUCAUUAUGCUAUUGAGUCACAGCUACAACUUCAUGGACUUAACAUUGAAGAGAGUAUGCGGACGAUAAAGCCAAGAGAGGGGGAAGAAACCUUAAGAAUAGAGGAUAUCCUUGAAGUAAUUGAGAAGGAAGGAGAUUCCAUUGCAGUGAUCCUGUUCAGCGGGGUGCAUUUUUACACUGGACAGCACUUUAAUAUUCCUGCCAUCACAAAAGCUGGACAAGCGAAGGGUUGUUAUGUUGGCUUUGAUCUAGCACAUGCAGUUGGAAAUGUUGAACUCAACUUGCAUGACUGGGGAGUCGAUUUUGCCUGCUGGUGUUCCUACAAGUAUUUAAAUGCAGGAGCAGGAGGUAUUGCUGGUGCCUUUGUUCAUGAAAAGCAUGCCCAUACGAUUAAACCUGCAUUAGUGGGAUGGUUUGGCCAUGAACUCAGCACCAGAUUUAAGAUGGAUAACAGAAAGCAAAGGUUGAGCAGAACAAGAAAUUCUGGGUUGGGAAUAGGAAGGCAGAGAAAGAUGGGAUCCAGAGAAACUUCCAGAAGAGGUCAUUUUUACUUUGGGCCUAAGAUUUCUGGUGUUCUACUAAGAAGAACUGCAGUUAAUCCCUGGGGUCUGUGGAUUCCGAGUUUCAAAUCCUCCCAUGUUGUUGGUCUCUUCCUUACAUGCUAGUUUAGAGAUCUUUAAGCAAGCGACAAUGAAGGCAUUGCGAAAGAAAUCUAUUUUGCUAACUGGCUAUCUGGAAUACCUGAUCAAGCAUAAGUAUGGCAAAGAUAAAGCAGCAACCCAGAAACCGGUUGUGAACAUAAUUACUCCAUCCCAUAUAGAGGAACGGGGCUGCCAGCUAACAAUAACAUUUUCUGUUCCAAACAAAGAUGUUUUCCGAGAACUAGAAAAAAGAGGUGUGGCUUGUGACAAGCGGAAUCCAAAUGGCAUUCGAGUGGCUCCAGUCCCUCUCUACAAUUCUUUCCAUGAUGUUUAUAGAUUUAUCGAUCUGCUCACCUCUAUACUUGAUUCUGCAGAAACAACAAAUUAGCAGUGUUUUCUAGAACAACCUAAGCAAUUUAUACUGAAAGCUACUGUGGUUAUUUCAGUAUUAUUCAAUUUUUAAUUAUUGAAAGUAUGUCACUGUAUUGAUGACAUGUAACUAACAAUAAAU